CCAAGCCACCAGAGGGCGCUACACUUCCGGACAGCCAGAGAACCAGGAAGUACGAGUUUUGUGUGUGAAUCCCCAGCAAAGACCAGGAGACGAAGAAAAAGAAGUAAAAUGACGUUUGAAGGCUCCAUGUUAGCAUGUUAGCAUGUUAGCAUGUAGCUCCACCAGCAUAUUGCGUAGCGGGACCGUCACGUUAAGGAGCGUUUUGGCCGAGCGGUGCACUUGUCCACCGUCAAUGCCGUACGUGCCUGCCGACCACCGGGGGGGACCUACUCCGGUUCUCACCGCACUUUCAGUUUGGCGACUGGAAAAUCGCGGUAAAGAAGAUGCCAUCAGUGUUGGAACCUGACAGGAAAUGACACCAAAUACCUGUAAAUCAGGAAACCUUCGAUCGUCAUGGGUCCUUUAAGUGCACCACAUGCCCAGGGACUUGACCAAUCCAGGGACUAUGGUCAAUAUACCCAUGCUAACAGCGCGAUGAUGCAUACAAGUCACCUGAGUGGCAGCCUACAGCGCUAUGAUUCAAAGUCACGCUGACCUUUCCCCCGCCGGCAUCUGUAGGGACGCCCGAUGGAUGGCGGCCGUGGCGGGCACGGCGCCAAACACGCUGACCGCUCUUUUUUCUGCCAUUAAACAUGAG